CACGCGGGGGCCUGGAGCAGAGCUCUCGGAGGAGGAAGCGCAAGCGGCCGCCAGGGGGAGCCGCUGAGUCUUAAAGGCGCCGCCGCUAGUGGCGGGGUGCUGGAUGGUGGCCAGUGCAGAGUGUGGGCUGACUCGGGUUCACACCCUGGGAUGCCCUAUAACCGAGAGAGACGAAGACCCAAGAGUGCACGGAGCAUCUUCAGGAGGGGCUUUUCUUUGCCAGUUGAAGGGGCAUCGAUCGGCUUCUGCCUCAAUUCCUGGAUUCUCUGAGCCACCUGCCCUGCCCCGGCCCAUGGGGUAGCAUUCCAGUCAUCAGAAUGCUUCAGGCAUAGGAAGGAGAAAUUAGAGGCUCUUCCUAGACACAUGGGUUUCCCGUGGCGGGGGUGAGGAGACAGACGUUUAGGCUUUGGAAAUAAAGACAAUUUUUUGAAGGUC